rnacentral:tRNA from 1 species
AGGUUAAUAAGAUAAUAUAAUCUAUGAGUCUUUUAAACUCACUAUGCUUCUAAAGGUUUAACCUA